UUUCGAAUUUAACAUCACAACAAUCCUCUCAUAAAGCCAUUAUUAUCAUGACCAUUUUGUACACAGUGACAGGUAGAUUCUAAGAUCUCAAGCAUCCAAGGAGAAAGAAGGUAAGAAAUAGAGCCUGGAUUUUGGGUCACAUUUUCUGAGCCUCAUUUUCUGAGCUGUGUGACUUUUUACAAGUUCACUUUUCUUUUCCUUUCCUCAUCAGCAAAAUAAGGUAAUGAUAAUUUCUAACAUACAGUAAAACAGUAUUAACUUACACAGCAAGUGAAGAGCAUGUAAGUUAAUGAUAGGCCUAUGAAAGUAUCUAUCCCAUGAUAGAUGCCCAAGAAAAUGAAUUUCCUAUUCCUUACCCAAGGUAGCACAAAUAAUAAAUACCAGAUUAUGACUCAAACCCAGAUUUCCUGACUCCAAGACCAAGUACUAUUUUCCACAUGGUUGACCCAGCCUCCAUUCACAUAUUUAGCUAAAUCCAAAUGCAUGCUAUGGUCAAUCAGAGCCUAUCAGGUCAAGGACAGGGUAGCAGUGAUUUGCCAUACAUUUGUAUGAUUAGAGUUUAUGUGUGUGAAAUUGUGUACAAGCUGCGUCCCUGUCCUUUGAAGUAAAAGGGCUUUGCUUUAGUCUCACAGGCCUCCCCUGAGUCUCAAAGGGCUGGUUCAAGAGUUAAUGAUUAGGAAAUGUGAAGAUGUAGAAACAAAGAAUAGGUGUUGGUCCUGGAAACUGGUAACAAUUUAGACUAUAAAUCCACACCAUCACAGAAUCACCGAACUCCCAGUUCCCUGAAAGAUAUAGAUAAAGGCCUGGCACAUAUUCCUAAGUUGUUUUUACAGGAAGCAGACCUCCAGCAGAUGAAAACUGCUGACCACAAGCACAUAGACCCUAGACCAGUUGAAACCAGAGGGUGAUGGUGCUUGAAACUUCACCUUGAUGCCAACCAAUCCAAGAAUGGUGCACGAGCUGACCACACACCCUGCAGCCCCCUCCCUCAUACUGCCUUUGAAAUCCCAAUUGGAGAGUCUGGGUCUUUUGAGCAUGAGCUGCCCAUUCUCCUUGCUUGGUGCCCUGCAAUAAAAGCUCUACCUUCCUUCACCACAACCUGGUGUCAGUAGCUUGGCUUUACUGUAUGUGGGCAAGCAGACCCAAAUUUGGUUCAGUAACAUGUACAAGAUGCUGUACAUGAGAGAAAGCUGCCAUGGCUUGACCUCUGGAACAUAGGAAGCUGGUUGCAUUUCACCUAUUUUCCCAUUUGUGUUUCUUGGUGGUAUAUUGACCUUUUGUGGACACACAUGCUCUUGUAAAUACCGUGCACUCAGGGUGUUAUAUCUAGACCUGUUUAUCUGCAUAACCAGAGGGAGAUGCACAAUUUUAACAAUGAUGGAUGUUGAGCUUCUGGAGGCCAGUGUUUGACAGUUUCAGUAUCCCACAUAUUCCACUGAGAAUUAGAUUCCAGUGGAAUGAAAUAAGUUUUGAAUAUUUUCUCACAAGUAUGUUCUAUAAGCAUGCCCACUGUUUGGCAGCCACUGUGCUAGACACUGCUGACACAGUGGGCAACAACAAGACAUGAUCUUGCCCUAGAGAAUCUAGCAGCGUUAGUGGAGAAGACAAAAAGCAAAUAUCCACUGCAACAAAUAAUAUGAGGGUGACGUACAGAGAGGAUAUGAGAGCCUACAAUAGGGUAUUUGGUUGGAUCAGAAAGGUCAAAAGAGGCCUCUAGGAUGGAUUGAAGCUUGAAUUGAUAUCUGAAAAAUAAGUAGGAAUAACCUACUUGAAAAGAGGAAGGAAGCACAUUCUAAUAUACUAAACAGAUGAGCAGAGGAACUGUGGCAGGAGGAACACGGUAAGUACAAGGGAUGGAAGAAGUUACAAAGUGACUAGAAUAGGAAGAAUGAAGGGAAUACUUGGUGGAAAAUGAGGGUAACAGAAAUCAAAGGGUCAAAUUGUUCAGAAUCUGUCGUAUAUGUAUUAUAAGAAGGAGGAAGUGUUAUAAUUUGGUUGUUAACUUUGGCUGCAAUAUGAAGACAGAUUGAAGAGGGACUAAUAUGAAAGCCUGGAAUCAUGCAGUAGGAGGUGAUAGAAAUAAGACAACACAAAUGAGAAAUUUUGUAAGUUCAUAAUAGACGAGAUAAAGAGCAGGGAGGGAGAUGGAACUGUCAAGGAUGAAUUCUAGGUUUCUGACUUGUGCAGCUCAGGCAAAUUCUCAGUAAUUGGUCUACCAUCUGCUUAAUAGCACAGUACAGGGAGUGUGCAAUAUCUGAGCCCAUUAGCCCCUCACUCCAAGGUGACAAGUCCCUUGUCCACUGAGCCAGUGCCUCCCCUCCUCAAAGAGGCACUUGAGAUUAAACCCACUAAAUCACAUGCCUUGUUUUCAUCAUUAAAUGCACAGAGUAUAAGUCCCCCCAAGCCUCCAAUGUCCUCUACAGCACCUUUGUAUAAAUGAGAAAAGGGUGACCCUGUGGGUGGAUGCAGUCCCAUGAGGGGGGGUGGGUUUCACCCCUCACUACCUUGCCCAUGCACUGUACACAACCACUCAACCACAGCGCAGUGCCCUCUCCAAACCUCACCUAGGACCUACCCUUCCUCCACAUUCCACACCCUUCCCACAUGUCCCCAAGAACUGACAAACAUCCUUAGACUCUCUAUUUGGGGGGAUAUUUUCCUCUACAUCUUUGAUUUUAAUUUAAAAUGUAGCUCACCAUUUUCAUGUAGCCCUUUCAAAUUGGUCCAAAUAUUUUCUCUUAUCCACACACUGAAAAGCCAGGACUCCCAUUACCAUGGUCUUAUCAUUGCUCUUUCCUGCUCUUUAAAUAAAAAGGCUAACUCCUAAUUCCUUGAAGAUUUUGUGUAUUAUACCAUAGUUGAUAAGCACAUGGACUCUGAAAUGUUACUCUCUGGAUUCAGAUCCAAACUCUCUGCCCUCAUUAGCCCUGAGACCUUUGUCAAGUUACCAAACCUCUCUGUGCCUCGAUGUCUUCAUUUUAUAAUGGAAAAAUAAUUUUACUUAACUCAUGGGAUUACUGAGAAUAUUAAUGAAAUAACUUAUGAAAAGCACUUAAAACAGUGUUUCACAUAUUUUAAGUUAUACCCAAUGCGUUAGGUGGUAUUACUAUUAUUAAUUAGCUAUACCACUAUCUUCCAUGUUGCUAUUCACCAACAAACUCAACAAAUUUCCUGAUUCACUGGACACCUCGUCAUCUGAACCAUCAUCACUCAUCAUGCCAGCUGACUUCAGUACCCACAUAACCAAGCACUCCAGAACCAUAGCUUACCACACUCUUCUCCCAUUGCCGUAUCUUUGGUCAUGUCACCAGCAUACAGAUUCAUUCUCCAAAAGCAUUGAUUCAAACAUUUUCUUUGACAGAAGCCUCCAUUCAACUUUUUUUUUUUUCAUUGUUCUUGCUCUGUUUUCUGACCACACGGGGAACUCCUAUACAGUGAUGCCUAAACUGCUUAUCAAGCUAUCAGUCCUCUCCUCUCUUCACUUCCAUAGUAUAUCAGACUUAGAUUACAGGGUACAUUGUUUCACAAACCUUCUUACUUUUACCCUAAAUUCCCUUGACCAUCUGUGCUUUUGUCAUCUGGCUCUAAACACCAUAGUCCUAUAUCAACCCAACAACACUCGUUUCUUUGCUGGAGAAAAUCACAGGAAGCAGGAAAAAUGAUUUCUUUAAAAUUCAUGAACAACAAUGAAGUAGAUCCUCAACAAUGCACCUGACUUUCCACGACAUUAUUUCAGACAUUAUUUCCACACAGCUUUACUUUCACUAGGCUGCUGGAUUGAUGUAUUAGAAAAUCAGGGAGUUUUUAUCAUUUGGCAUUAUAUUCUCGGCCCUAAGUUUAAUUGAUUUUCUAAUGAUCAAUGAUCAAAUGGGCGGAUACAUCUGUAAAAGAAUUUAUAAAGUGAAAUUUUCUUCACACACGUUAGUGAUGGCUUUAUUAUCAUUAUUACCUUUGCUGGUUUGCAGAUUUAAUGGAUGAUUGGGCCUUUUACUGGGACAAAGGAAGACUGAAUAAGACUGAGUGUGGGAGAGGAGGCACAAGUACAGUUUCCCCAGUGUGAAAUGGGCUCCAGUGGUUAGUGUACAACUAUGAAUGCUCCAGGUUAUGGGGCGCUGGCUGCUGUAAGAACAUAGUUAUCUACCGGAGUGAAGAAGUGCAAGAAAGAGUCCAGGAGAAGCUAGCAGAAAGGGAGCUAGAGCAAAGCAAGAGAUGUAGCUUUAAAAUGAUAUGUAUACAGGGCUUCCCUGGUGGUGCAGUGGUUAAGAAUCCACUUGCCAAUGCAGGGGGCACGGGUUUGAGCCCUGGUCUGGGAAGAUCCCACAUGCCACGGGGCAACUAAGCCCAUGCACCGCAACUACUGAGCCCACACGCCACAGCUACUGAAGCCUGUGUGCCUAGAGCCUGCACUCUGCAACAAGAGAAGCCACCGCAAUGAGAAGCCCACACACUGCAACAAAGAGUAGACCCUGCUCGCUGCAACUAGAGAAAGCCUGUGCAGCAACGAAGACCCAAUGCAGCCAAAAAUAAAUAAAUAAAAAUAAAUAAAUGAAAAAAAUGAUAUGUAUACAUUUCUCUACUUCACAGUGUGAAAGGCUCAGGUCCACAGACCCUGUGACUGCAGCAUGCUGAGUAUCAUCAUUCGGGAGGUGAGGGGGUGAUACUAUCAACAAAAUCUACAAGACACCAAGGUGUAGUGGCUAUGCUAUAGAUUCCCAGUUGCACUUGGAUCAAAUAAAAGGCAAAUGAGCUUUUGUUAUGUUUA